rnacentral:rRNA from 1 species
AUACAGAGGGUGCAAGCGUUAAUCGGAUUUACUGGGCGUAAAGCGCGCGUAGGUGGCUAAUUAAGUCAAAUGUGAAAUCCCCGAGCUUAACUUGGGAUUUGCAUUCGAUACUGGUUAGCUAGAGUAUGGGAGAGGAUGGUAGAAUUCCCGGUGUAUCGGUGAAAUGCGUAGAGAUCUGGAGGAAUACCGAUGGCGAAGGCAGCCAUCUGGCCUAAUACUGACACUGAGGUGCGAAAGCAUGGGGAGCAAACAGGAUUAGAUACCCUGGUAGUCCAUGCCGUAAACGAUGUCUACUAGCCGUUGGGGCCCUUGAGGCUUUAGUGGCGCAGCUAACGCGAUAAGUAGACCGCCUGGGGAGUACGGUCGCAAGACUAAAACUCAAAUGAAUUGACGGGG